UGAGGAAUAUUGGUCAAUGGGCGGGAGCCUGAACCAGCCAAGCCGCGUGAGGGAAGAAGGUACGAAGUAUCGUAAACCUCUUUUGUCAGGGAACGAAAGCCGCUCCGCGGAGCGGUCUGAGUGUACCUGAAGAAAAAUGCAUCGGCUAACUCCGUGCCAGCAGCCGCGGUAAUACGGAGGAUGCGAGCGUUAUCCGGAUUUAUUGGGUUUAAAGGGAGCGUAGGCGGACUUUCAAGUCAGUGGUAAAAGUCGUGUGGCUCAACCAUACCUCGCCAUUGAAACUGGAAGUCUGGAGUGCACACAGGGGUGCCGGAAUUCAUGGUGUAGCGGUGAAAUGCUUAGAUAUCAUGAAGAACUCCGAUCGCGAAGGCAAGUGCCCGGGGUGCAACUGACGCUGAGGCUCGAAGGUGCGGGUAUCGAACAGGAUUAGAUACC
rnacentral:rRNA from 1 species